UAUCUCUGUAGAGUCUGCAUAUCAAUAAGCGGAGGAAAAGAAACUAACAAGGAUUCCCUUAGUAACGGCGAGUGAAGCGGGAAGAGCUCAAAUUUGAAGUCUUCAAGGUUUUACCUUGACGAAUUGUAGUUUAAAGAAGUGUUUUCUGUUGAAGUUUCGGUAAAAGUUCUUUGGAAUAGGACAUCAUAGAGGGUGAGAAUCCCGUAUUUGACCAUUUAUUCCAGCUGUGUGAUACACUUUCAAAGAGUCGGAUUGUUUGGGAAUGCAGUCCAAAAUGGGUGGUAAAUUUCAUCUAAAGCUAAAUAUUGGCGAGAGACCGAUAGCGAACAAGUACCGUGAGGGAAAGAUGAAAAGAACUUUGAAAAGAGAGUUAAACAGUACGUGAAAUUGUCAAAAGGGAAGCGUUUGACACCAGUGUUGUUUUCUCGAAAAUCAAUUAAAAAUGAUGGGAUUUUGUGUUGUAUUGACUUUAUCAGCUUUCUGCACUUUUUUCUUAUCUUUUUUAAUGCACUUUUCGUUUAACAAGUCAACAUCAAUUUCUUUUGUUGUAAAAGAGUCAUUGGAAGGUGGCUUUUUCUUCGGAAAAAGUGUUUAUAGCCUUUGGCUUCUGCAAUCGGAGAGAUUGAGGUCUGCAGCGUAGAUCCUUCGGGGUUAGAUACAUUUGUGCUAAGCUAUAGUUCUUUAUAGACAACUUGUUGACUAUAAUCAAUCCUGUAACUUACUCGCUUAUGCUAUUUUACCUACGCUUAGGAUGUUGAACGCGCACAGAGUCUC
rnacentral:rRNA from 1 species